GAUGAACGCUGGCGGCAUGCCUAAGACAUGCAAGUCGAACGCGAGGGCCCAUGAAGAGGGAUGGAAAUUAGAGGUGCUUGCACCAAAGAUGGAAAUCACUUGGAAUGGAAUUUCCCUCGAGUGGCAAACGGGUGAGUAACACGUGGGUUACCUGCCUCUAUGUUGGGGAUAACAGUUGGAAACGACUGCUAAUACCGAAUGUGCUCUUCGGAGUAAAGGAGCCUUUAAAGCUUCGCGUAGAGAUGGGCCUGCGGCGCAUUAGCUAGUUGGUGGGGUAAUGGCCUACCAAGGCAACGAUGCGUAGCCGAGCUGAGAGGUUGAUCGGCCACACUGGGACUGAGACACGGCCCAG
rnacentral:rRNA from 1 species